rnacentral:lncRNA from 1 species
GUCCCAUCUUUGUCUUGGAGCCAACAGUCCACGUGUUACGGAAAGUUCAGUCUCUGAACUCCUUGCCAAUCUAAAUAACAAGAACAAAGUUUUGGGUAAAAAGGAAAGAAAGCUUUAUUCUCUUUGCCAGGCAAAGGGAGCAGCAGCAGGCUAGCGCCUUACGAACUGCUGGCUCCCCAUCAGAUAAAUGGGUAAGGGGUUUUAUAGGAGAAGUCUAAGAGUCCAGUUCAGGGCUAUGUGCCAGAAGACACAUUUUUCUUUCCUGUUGGUGGUCUCAAGAUUGCUGGAGUGCCUUGUUUGCUGACACAGAUGUUUUUGUUCUUUAUGGCCAGCAAGACACAGGACACGAUAACCAGAUCCUUUUGUUGCAAGCUGUUAUCCAGACUCCCUGGAACUCGGGUUAUUCUCAAGUCUCAGCAGAGCGGGAGUGUAAGCAGAGAAACAUAAGGAAGGCAAAAUUAUGUACACUUUUAAUUCCAGCCUUAGUUGCCGGGAAAGUGUCACUUCAGAUAAGGAAGACGUUACUAGUCAGGUUGUUAUUUAAUCCGUAUACUUCUAAUUUCGGAUAGAAAAAGCCCAUAACACAUGCAAGGCAGAGUACAGGUUGCAUCGUCCUUUCAUGCCUGGUUGCUAACCUACAUUUCCCCAUGUGGGAGAAUUUGGUCUGCACCCUGAUUUCAUUAUAUGACAUUGUGGAGGAGACCUGAGCACACGCCUUCCUGGAAUUGUUGAGGCUACUAAAAUGUUAUUAAAAGGAGCCCAGAAAGUUUGAACAGCCAAAUUUCACAAGACGGUAUAGCUCGUGUUGGAUGGGAGAGUGGGGACACUGCAAGGCAAGCUACCUUGAACGGAUCAGAGGGAAUGGGGCCAGCACACACAGUCUGAGCGCUCACAGUCUUCUUCCUACAGCCUCAUAUUUCUUCUCCAGUCACAUUCCUGGGAAGAUUGUUCCAGAGGGAGCUCACAUUUCUUCCUGAUUAAUGCACUGGUGCCAGGACCAUCCCGGAUGCCUCCUCCUUCACUCUUCAAUCAAAGUAUUUCUAUUUCUGACCAUCCUGACUUGCUUCAGAGGUGGGAAGGGCCCUCUUGGCCUAUCACACACAAAGAGUCUGCCCUUCGGUCCAGAAAUACUGGAAGGAAGGACUCUGGUUCAGGGGAGACGCUCUGGCCACCGGAAGCCUGACUCAUCCGGCUGCCUGUGA